rnacentral:rRNA from 1 species
AUUGAACGCUGGCGGCAUGCCUUACACAUGCAAGUCGAACGGUAACGGGCCUUCGGGUGCCGACGAGUGGCGAACGGGUGCGUAAUACAUCGGAACGUGCCCGAUCGUGGGGGAUAACGAGGCGAAAGCUUUGCUAAUACCGCAUACGAUCUACGGUUGAAAGCAGGGGACCGCAAGGCCUUGCGCGGACGGAGCGGCCGAUGGCAGAUUAGGUAGUUGGUGGGAUAAAAGCUUACCAAGCCGACGAUCUGUAGCUGGUCUGAGAGGAUGAUCAGCCACACUGGGACUGAGACACGGCCCAGACUCCUACGGGAGGCAGCAGUGGGGAAUUUUGGACAAUGGGCGCAAGCCUGAUCCAGCCAUGCCGCGUGCAGGAUGAAGGCCUUCGGGUUGUAAACUGCUUUUGUACGGAACGAAAAGCCUUCUUUUAAUACAGGAGGGUCAUGACGGUACCGUAAGAAUAAGCACCGGCUAACUACGUG